CUCAAAGAGGUUUUUAGGAGGUUUAGUAUUUCUACAUUCCUUAAAGGUGGGAAAGGCACGUAAGAAGAGGGGCAGGUAGGCAGUCAGGCGAAAGGUUUCAUACUUGUAAGACUUUAAUUUCCUGCCCAGGAAAUCUACAUUUUACAUAAGAUAAGGUGAAUGUUUGAAGAGAAAAGGGGAGCAGAGGAAGAGUCACUUACAAAGACAUCUUUGGGGGAAUAACUUCAGGUAUCAGCUUGUCAGAUGAAUCUGAGGAAAACUCAAGGAAUAAAG
rnacentral:lncRNA from 1 species